UGAGUGUUAAACUCAUUGGCGUAAUGAAAGUAAAGUUAUCUUUAUGAUAAUGAUAUGUGAUUGCUAUUACCUUUGGGUAUGGCAAGUAACAUAGUCCCAUCUAAAUUGCUUGCAAUUGGGUGGAGAUAGAGCAUAUGCGAUGAGACCCGAAAGAUGGUGAACUAUGCCUGAGCAGGAUGAAGUCAGAGGAAACUCUGAUGGAAGUCCGAAGCGGUUCUGACGUGCAAAUCGAUCGUCUGACUUGGGUAUAGGGGCGAAAGACUAAUCGAACCAUCUAGUAU
rnacentral:rRNA from 1 species